AUAAAUAGGACAAUUACAAUAAAACUUACAGGAACGAUAGGUUGAAGAGGGUCCUGCUCAAACAAGUUUACAGUCUAUAGGAGGUGGGGUAUAAAACACAAUAGGACAGGAAAUAGCAAUCAAAUAAAGGUGGGAGUGAAGCAGAGCUGGAGGAGAGCGUAAAGUGCUGCCCUUUAGGAGAGAGCAAGAGACCGGUAUGUGAGGUAGAGCUUACUCUGGGAGGCCAUAAGCUUUCCUAAAAAGAUGGGUUUUAAGGUGCUUCUUAAACGAUUGAAGACUAGAGGAGAGUCUGAUGGGAGAAGGCAGGCUUUUCCAUAGGAAAAGUCCUGCAAGCGUGAGUUAGCCGUACGGGUGCAAGCAGCGGACAGGA